GGUGGUUCAGGGUAGAAUUCCCACCUCCCAUGCGGGAGACCUGGGUUCGAUUCCCAGCC
rnacentral:tRNA from 1 species